rnacentral:lncRNA from 1 species
AUGGAGCCUACUUUGUAUGAUUUCAGUCCUUUUAAGUUUAUUGAUACUUUCUCUGUGGCCCAACAUGUGGUCCCUCCUGGAGCAAACCCCAGCACACUAAAGUGUGUGUGCCCUGCGGUUGCUGGGUGGAGUGCUCUGCAGGUGCAGUUGCUGGGUGGAGUGCUCUGCGGUGGCUGGGUGGAGUGCUCUGCAGUUGCAGUUGCUGGGUGGAGUGCUCUGUGGUUACGGUUGCUGGGUGGAGUGCUCUGCAGUUGCCGGGUGGAGUGCUCUGCGGUUGCCGGGUGGAGUGCUCUGCGGUUGCUGGAUGGAGUGCUCUGCUGUUGCUGGGUGGAGUGCUCUGCAGUUGCUGCAUGGAGUGCUCUGCAGGUGCAGUUGCUGGGUGGAGUGCUCUGUGGUUGCUGGGUGGAGUGCUCCGCGGUUGUUGGGUGGAGUGCUCUGCAGAUGUGGUUGCUGGGUGGAGUACUCUGCGGUUGCUGGGUGACAUGCUCUGCAGUCGUUGGAUGGAGUGCUCUGUGGUUGCGGUUACUGGGUGGAGUGCUCUGUGGUUGGUGGGUGGAGUGCUCUGUGGUUGCGGUUGUUGGGUGGAGUGCUCUGCGGUUGUUGGGUGGAGUGCUCUGCGGUUGCUGGGUGGAGUGCUCUGCGGUUGCGGUUGUUGGGUGGAGUGCUCUGUGGUUGCUGGGUGGAGUGCCCUGCGGUUGCUGGGUGGAGCGCUCUGCGGUUGUUGGGUGGAGUGCUCUGUGGUUGCUGUGGAGUUGUUGUUGGGUGGAGUGCUCCGUGGUUGUUGGGUGGAGUGCUCUGCGGUUGUGUUUGCUGGGUGGAGUGCUCUGUGGUUGUUGGGUGGAGUGCUCUGCGGUUGCUGGGUGCAGUGCUCUCUGGUUACUGGGUGGAGUGCUCCGUGGUUACUGGGCAGAGUGCCCUGCGGUUGGUGGGCGGAGUGCUCCACGGUUGCUGGGUGGAGUGCUCCACGGUUGUUGGGUGGAGUUCUCUGCGGUUACUGGGUGGAGUGCUCUGCGGUUGGUGGGUGGAGUCCUCUGCAGUUGUUGGGUGGAGUGCUCGGCGGUUGCGGUUGAUGGGUGGAGUGCUCCUCGGUUGUUGGGUGGAGUGCUCCGUGGUUGCUGGGUGGAGUGCUCUGCGGUUACUGGGUGGAGUGCUCUGCCACUGGUGGGUGGAGUGCUCCGCGGUUGUUGGGUGUUCUCUGCAGUUACUGGGUGGAGUGCUCCACGGUUGGUGGGUGGAGUGCUCUGCAGGUGCGGUUGCUGGGUGGAGUGCUCUGCGGUUGCUGGGUGGAGUGCUCUGCAGGUGCGGUUGCUGGGUGGAGUGCUCUGCAGUUGCUGGGUGGAGCGCUGUGCGGUUGCUGGGUGA